rnacentral:rRNA from 1 species
GUGGGGAAUAUUGGGCAAUGGGCGAAAGCCUGACCCAGCAACGCCGCGUGAAGGAAGAAGGCUUUCGGGUUGUAAACUUCUUUUGUCAGGGACGAAAAAAAUGACGGUACCUGACGAAUAAGCCACGACUAACUACGUGCCAGCAGCCGCGGUAAUACGUAGGUGGCAGGCGCUAUCCGGAUUUACUGGGUGUAUAGGUCUCGUAGGCGGGAAAGCAAGUCAGAUGUGAAAACUAUGGGCUCAACCCAUAGCCUGCAUUUUAAACUGUUUUUCUUGAGUACUGGAGAGGCAGAUGGAAUUCCUAGUGUAGCGGUGAAAUGCGUAGAUAUUAGGAGGAACACCAGUGGCGAAGGCGAUCUGCUGGACAGCAACUGACGCUGAGGCGCGAAAGCGUGGGGAGCAAACAGGAUUAGAUACCCGUGUAGUCC